UCUCACUCAGGGAGAUCUUUUUUCCUGUGCAGAGGGUAGCAGAGCUGGGUGCAGUACUGUAUGUGGAGUCUCAUGAAAAUUGAGGGCUCUUGAGCUGCUGGCCAUGCUCCACAUUGUGCAGCCCUUGCUUGGUGUCCUUGCAGUCUGACUCAAGGUGAAAAUAGGGGCUGUCAUCCUUGGAGUGCUUUUGCUCUAUACAUGAAUCUGUAACACAGCUGAAAUAUAUUGGGAGGGGAGGUUUUGUUUCCAUACUUCACUGCUAGAUGGCAGUGCAUUGGGGUGACACUGAACUCUGCAGGAGGAUGGCAAAGGGCAGGCACACUACAGGAUGUGCUCCUGAAAGUUAAAUUCAGGCUGCAAAGCAGGCAGUAGGAGCUUGGCCAUUGAUUUCAACGGGAAGAAGAGUUCACUCUGAUGGCUGCAGUAAGACAUGAAUCUUCCACUGGGCCCCACUUUCCGAAGUUUUUUCACGGAGGAAAGAAAGUUACCUAGCUAACCUCCUACAGUGUCAUUUCUGAGUCUCCUAAUUCUCCUUUGUUUUUCAAGGAAACCAGUGUGAUUCCAGAGAGGACACCCCUAGAAAGUUAAUUGAAAUAAAUCCAUGAGCCAUAUUUUUACUGAGUAAGAUCGUCAUAAAGUCAUUUAGGACCAAUACUCAGCUACCCAGCACAAUGAAAGCCCACAUGAGCACUCACAAAAUAGGAAUGAAUAUUCUUUCCCUUUCUAAAACUCACCCAUGAAUGGACUUUGCAUAAAACUGGCAUUUUAGAGGCCAAUGUAUGAUGACCUUGAGGAUAACAAAGAAAGUUUUUGGGGCUUUUUUCUCUCUCCUAGUGGAUGGAAUGCAUAUUGAAGUGUGAGUUUCCUGGUUUCCUGGAGUCACAGGGCUGUCAGAAGGCAGCAGAGGCUAAAGGAAACCUCUCCAAUAGCAGAGUCCUUGUUGAGGACAAGUGGUUUCAGAGAUUGGGCAAAAAAGGCUUACCUUACCUUGCUGAUCAUGGAGAAAUUUGUACCUUAGGAAGACUUCAUGGGCGUGGAACCUGUGUUCAGAUUGGAAAGAAUAUUCCCUAAGAAAGAGAGAAGAGGAUCCAGGACAUUUCUUCUUUUCCGUACAAAAAUUGCUGAAAAAGUACUAAAUAAAUUAUUUCUGUUUCUAAAAAUAAACAGUU